CGUCUUGCCCCCCCCCCCGGCCGCCCCGGCGCCCGGCACCGUCUUCUCCACGGCCAUCUCCUCCCACCUCCCAAACCAGCACCCGCCUCCGCGCCGAGAGAGCGCGCGGAUCUGGCCGGAGGCGCGGGAAACGGGGAGGAGGUGGAGGAGGAGGCGGCCGGGAAGCUUCGGAAUCGGGGGAGGGAGUAGAAGGGAAGAGGAGACGAGGAGGGUGGCGAUGGUUAUGAGCUGUGUUU
rnacentral:lncRNA from 1 species